GGGCCCGCACAAGCGGUGGAGCAUGUGGUUCAAUUCGACGCAACGCGAAGAACCUUACCGGGGCUUGACAUCGGACGAACAUCUGUGAAAGCAGGUUUCCCCGCAAGGGGACGUCCAGACAGGUGCUGCAUGGCUGUCGUCAGCUCGUGCCGUGAGGUGUUGGGUUAAGUCCCGCAACGAGCGCAACCCUUGUCGUGUGUUGGUCAGCAAUGAUCUCUCACGCGAGACCGCCGAUGAGAAGUCGGAGGAAGGUGGGGAUGACGUCAAGUCAGCAUGGCCCUUACGUCCCGGGCUACACACGUGCUACAAUGCGCCGAACAACGAGUCGCAAACUCGCGAGAGUAAGCCAAUCUCUUAAAUCGGCGCCCAGUUCGGAUUGAAGGCUGCAACUCGCCUUCAUGAAGUCGGAAUCGCUAGUAACCGCAGAUCAGCUACGCUGCGGUGAAUACGUUCCCGGGCCUU
rnacentral:rRNA from 1 species